rnacentral:rRNA from 1 species
GCAUAUCAAUAAGCGGAGGAAAAGAAACCAACAGGGAUUGCCCUAGUAACGGCGAGUGAAGCGGCAACAGCUCAAAUUUGAAAGCUGGCUCUCGGGCCCGCAUUGUAAUUUGCAGAGGAUGCUUCUGGCGACGCGCCUUCCGAGUUCCCUGGAACGGGACGCCAUAGAGGGUGAGAGCCCCGUCCGGUCGUGCGCCUAGCCUCUGUGAAGCUCCUUCGACGAGUCGAGUAGUUUGGGAAUGCUGCUCAAAAUGGGAGGUAUACGUCUUCUAAAGCUAAAUACCGGCCAGAGACCGAUAGCGCACAAGUAGAGUGAUCGAAAGAUGAAAAGCACUUUGAAAAGAGAGUUAAAAAGUACGUGAAAUUGUUGAAAGGGAAGCGCUCAUGACCAGACUUGGGCUGGCCCGAUCAUCCGGCGUUCUCGCCGGUGCACUCGGGCCGCCCAGGCCAGCAUCAGCUUUCGCCGGGGGAUAAAGGCGGCGGGAAUGUGGCUCCCUCGGGAGUGUUAUAGCCCGCCGUGCAAUACCCUGGUGGGGGCUGAGGUUCGCGCGUAUGCACGGAUGCUGGCGUAAUGGUUAUCAGCGACCCGUCUUGAAACACGGACCAAGGAGUCGUCUUCGUAUGCGAGUGUUCGGGUGUCAAACCCCUACGCGGAAUGAAAGUGAACGCUGGUGAGAGCUUCGGCGCAUCACCGACCGAUCCUGAUGUUCUCGGACGGAUUUGAGUAAGAGCAUACGGGGCCGGACCCGAAAGAAGGUGAACUAUGCCUGUAUAGGGUGAAGCCAGAGGAAACUCUGGUGGAGGCUCGCAGCGGUUCUGACGUGCAAAUCGAUCGUCAAAUAUGGGCAUGGGGGCGAAAGACUAAUCGAACCUUCUAGUAGCUGGUUUCCGCCGAAG